rnacentral:rRNA from 1 species
AACGAACGCUGGCGGCAUGCCUAACACAUGCAAGUCGAACGAGACCUUCGGGUCUAGUGGCGCACGGGUGCGUAACGCGUGGGAACCUGCCCUUAGGUUCGGAAUAACUCCCCGAAAGGGGUGCUAAUACCGGAUAAUGUCUUCGGACCAAAGAUUUAUCGCCUUUGGAUGGGCCCGCGUUGGAUUAGCUAGUUGGUAGGGUAAAAGCCUACCAAGGCGACGAUCCAUAGCUGGUCUGAGAGGAUGAUCAGCCACACUGGGACUGAGACACGGCCCAGACUCCUACGGGAGGCAGCAGUGGGGAAUAUUGGACAAUGGGCGAAAGCCUGAUCCGGCAAUGCCGCGUGAGUGAUGAAGGCCUUAGGGUUGUAAAGCUCUUUUACCCGGGAUGAUAAUGACAGUACCGGGAGAAUAAGCCCCGGCUAACUCCGUG